rnacentral:rRNA from 1 species
GAUGAACGCUAGCGGCAGGCUUAACACAUGCAAGUCGAGGGGCAGCGCGAUGUAGCAAUACAUUGGCGGCGACCGGCGCACGGGUGCGUAACACGUAUGGAACUUACCCUUUACUGGGAGAUAGCCCGGAGAAAUCCGGAUUAAUAUCCCAUAAUAUACGAAGUGGCAUCACUUUGUUUUGUAAAGCUCCGGCGGUAAAGGAUGGCCAUGCGCACGAUUAGCUAGUAGGUGAGGUAACGGCUCACCUAGGCUACGAUCGUUAGGGGGCCUGAGAGGGUUAUCCCCCACACUGGUACUGAGACACGGACCAGACUCCUACGGGAGGCAGCAGUGAGGAAUAUUGCGCAAUGGAGGCGAACUCUGACGCAGCCAUGCCGCGUGCAGGAAGAAGGCGCUACGCGUCGUAAACUAGCUUUUACCUA